rnacentral:rRNA from 1 species
CCUACGGGUGGCAGCAGUGAGGAAUAUUGGUCAAUGGGCGCGAGCCUGAACCAGCCAAGUAGCGUGAAGGAAGACUGCCCUACGUGUUGUAAACUUCUUUUAUCAAGGAAUAAAGUCAGGCACUUGUGCCUUUUUGUGUGUACUUUAUGAAUAAGGAUCGGCUAACUCCGUGCCAGCAGCCGCGGUAAUACGGAGGAUCCGAGCGUUAUCCGGAUUUAUUGGGUUUAAAGGGAGCGGAGAUGGGUUGUUAAGUCAGGUGUGAAAGUUGGCGGCUCAACCGUAAAAUUGCAUUUGAUACUGGCAGCCUUGAGUACAGUUGAGGUAGGCGGAAUGCGUGGUGUAGCGGUGAAAUGCUUAGAUAUCACGAAGAACCCCGAUUGCGAAGGCAGCCUAC